rnacentral:rRNA from 1 species
CAUUUUUGGCGGGGCCGCUGGCCUCUUACCGAGGCAUGUGCACGCCUUCUCUGUUCAUCCACACACAMCUGUGAACUUGUGAGACGGAUUGACCCUCUCGGGGGGACGGUCCGUCUAUUAURCAUAAACUCCAAUAAAUAUAAAUCUGAAUGUAAUCUGAUGUAACGCAUCUUUAAACUAAGUUUCAACAACGGAUCUCUUGGCUCUCGCAUCGAUGAAGAACGCAGCGAAAUGCGAUAAGUAAUGUGAAUUGCAGAAUUCAGUGAAUCAUCGAAUCUUUGAACGCACCUUGCGCUCCUUGGUAUUCCUUGGAGCAUGCCUGUUUGAGUAUCAUGAAAUUCUCAGAAUAAAUCUUUUGUUCAUUCGAUCGAUUUUAUUUUGGACUUGGAGGUCUGCAGAUUCACGUCUGCUCCUCUUAAAUUCAUUAGCUGGAUCUCUGUGAGCUCGGUUCCACUCGGCGUGAUAAGUAUCACUCGCUGAGGACACUGUAAAAAGUGGCCGGGGUUGUAGUUAGARSCGCUUCUAAUAGUCCCUUGGACAAUUUAUUUAGAGGGUGGUUCCCAGGAGAAGGGCAGGGCCCAAG